rnacentral:lncRNA from 1 species
AUACUUUAAUGAACAGAAAGUGACCUUUUUGUUACAUCAUAACCGAUUCAUAGGGACACAUCAAACACCCAGAGCUCAAAAGCAUGCCAACUUCUAGUCCACUCUUCAUUUUUGAGAUUACAUGAUCAAACGAUUACUGAUAUCUCCAUAGUUAUGAACUGCCUAUGUAUGCCAAUAGACUCCGCCUUAGCCUUCAUUUCAUAGAAACAUAAAGACUGUUGACAAGUGAUUUGACAUCGAACUAUUUUGAAUGCAGUAUUUAGAAAAACUAGUGCAUACACACAGAGUCUGCAGCUGCCUCUGACAAGCUUCUGUAGUUGCUUCCAGAUCUCUAGCUUUACAGUGUUAAUCAGUAUUUAACAUACACUUUACAGCAUGUACUUUCUUGAUAGUUGCUUAGGCUUUCAGUGUAUUGGAUAUACAGUGCAGCAGCCACUACGCUGAUUGAUCACGUACCUCAAAAUAAUUAAACCAAGCACAGCUUAAGGCAUUGUCUCAAGGAGAAGCGAUAAAUCUGUAGAUUUUCUUUCUCUACUGAUUUCCUUGAAAAAAAAGAAAAAAAAAAAAAAGGAGAAAAAAAAAAAAAAAAAAGGAAAAAAAAAAAAAAGGAAAAGGAAAGAAAAAAAAAACACACACAACAUAGUAUUUCUAUCAUUAUUCAGCAAUACUUUCUGUCUUAAACAGAUACAAAUGACUCCGGAGGCGAAGCUCAUCUUCAUUACUCAUCAUCUGUGCAUCUCCUGUGAUGACAUGGCAGGACUGAAACCAGCUAAGGUAAAUAAUAACCCUUUUUGACCUUGUGAUAUUUUUAUGUGGUAUUUUGUGAUACUUGCUGUUCAAACACCCAUGCCAAGGCUUCAUUUUUCCAGAAUCCACAUGAUGGAAGUUAGCGGACACUUUCUGUACACUGAGUAACUGCAGCUGUUGUAGCCUAGAACACCAGUGUUUGCUUAGGAACCCUGCUUUUAAGCAGCCUUUUCAAAACAGACAGAAGGAGGUUUAAGAACAAAUCAAACCAAACAACAACAACAAAGACAACCAGAAAAACGAGACAAACACCUGCAGGUAAAACUGAAAUAUUGAAUUCAAAAUAAUAUAUGACAAGAAAUAGGUGUUUUCAGUAUAUGUGGUUCUUCUUGCAGUAAUAAAUUGAUCAGUGGUACCUUGCUUAAGGGCA